rnacentral:SRP_RNA from 1 species
GCCAGGGGUUGUGGCAGACGCCUGUAGUCUCAGAUACUUGGGAGGCUGAGGCAAGAGAAUCGCUUAAGCCCAAGAGUUGGAGGUUGCUGUGAGCUGUGUGAAGUCAUGGCACUCUACCCAGGGCGACAUAGUGAGACUCUGUCUAAAAAAAAAAAAAAGAGUCUCACUUUGUUGCCCUGGGUAGAGUGCCAUGGAGUCACAGCUUACAGCAGCCUCCACCUCUUGGGCUUAAGUGAUUCUCUUGCCUCUC